rfam:Branchiostoma floridae genomic scaffold BRAFLscaffold_149, whole genome shotgun sequence.
GUUCAUUUGUGUGUGGAUGGUAUUUAGCACCAGGAACAGGUGUGUUUAUUUGUGUGUGGACGGUGUUCAGCACCAGGAACAGGUGUGUUUAUUU